CACCCGAGAGCCGAAUCGAGGCUGGGCCAAAGCUUGUGCGGAGUGUCCUGAAAUGUCCCUCUCAGGUCCUGCAAACUGAGUGGUUGCUUCUCUGACUCCUAUCCAAGAACUGGUAGAACUCCAGGGGGAAAUGCGAUAACAAAUAUCCGCAAAGAGAGGAAGCUGUGAAAACCAAACAUCUGUGCUGUAAAGGAGAUCAGAUCAAGCUGAUCACUGCAGCUGUAAUCAGUCACCAACAGGAACAAACAGCUGAGGGCAAGCACUUAACAUGUGUGAUUUACAAAUGCCACUUCCCAUACUGGCAGUGAUAUGAGACGACCUGAAGGACUGCAGGUGGCCGUGCCCUGGAUUGGUGGUGUACGGUAACAUCCCUGUUUCGCUGCCAAACGCUCAAGCUGUGCAGAUAAUGUGUCUUUAGUCUUGUCCUGAUUGGUUUUCAUGCUAUUACUCCUUCUUGCUGAUACAACUGAGUGUACUUCAGCCUUUCUCAGUUUUAAUCUUCACUUUUCCUCAGGUCUUUUCUUUUUUUCUUUCUUUUUUUUUUUUUUGAUAGCCAUAUAGCAAUACCUUUACCACUGCAGACUAAAAAGUCUGGUUUGAUAUAAUCACUCCUUUUCCUCAAAACUUCUCCUAGAAUUGUUAAGUGUGCUGCCACAUCCAUUUGAACCUCAGCAUAGCAGGACUACAGCAGAGCAGUUAGGUUGCAUAAUGCACUUCUCUAAAUCAACUUCAGCAGAUGGGAAGGAAAAUAGCUUCAGCUAGCAAAGCGCAACUGCCCUUGGGCACUUUUCAGAUGGCAGUGGAAGUGCAGCCCAGCAAUGCCCUACUGUCUUAGUUUUGUCCUCUCAGAUGACAGAGGCAGCCUUGCCUGAACAAAGGAUUAUUCCCCUCUGGCUCUUCCUCU